UUCGCAAUGCCCGAAAGGGUGAACGAGCGACGCCGCGUGGAGGACGAAGGCCUUCGGGUUGUAAACUCCUGUCGAGGGGGAAGAAGGCCCCGCAAGGGGCGUGACUGAUCCCUGGAGGAAGCACGGGCUAAGUUCGUGCCAGCAGCCGCGGUAAGACGAACCGUGUGAACGUUAUUCGGAAUCACUGGGCUUAAAGCGCGCGUAGGCGGGCCGGCACGUCCGUCGCUGAAAGCCCCCGGCUCAACCGGGGAAGCGGCGGGGAUACGACCGGCCUGGAGGGGCGUAGGGGGACCUGGAACUUCCGGUGGAGCGGUGAAAUGCGUUGAGAUCGGAAGGAACGCCCGUGGCGAAAGCGAGGUCCUGGACGCCUGCUGACGCUGAGGCGCGAAAGCCAGGGGAGCGAACGGGAUUAGAUACCCCGGUAGUCCUGGCCCUAAACGAUGGGCACUAAGUAGAGGGGUUUU
rnacentral:rRNA from 1 species